ensembl:snRNA Rnu6-572 RNA, U6 small nuclear 572
GAGGUCUCAUGCCCAUUCAGCAGCACAUAUUGGGACAAUACAGGGAAGAUUAGCAUGGCCCCUGGCCAAGGACAACAUGCAAAUUCAUGAAGCGUUCCAUAUUUUU